rnacentral:ncRNA from 1 species
GUCGAGUGGGCGGAGAAUACAAUACCCGAAAGGGGAAUAAUCCCAGCCUGCUAGAUUAGGCUUACGAACCACUCGGCACCCUAUU